CAGCCACUCAUUCAAAGAGUGCGUAAUAGCUCACUGGUCGAGUGAUCCUGCGCCGAAGAUUUCCGGGGCUAAAACUUACUACCGAAGCUACGGCAUCAGUAAUGAUGGGUAGGGGAGCUUCCCAUACAGGUUGAAGCAUGACCGUAAGGACAUGUGGACAGUAUGGGAGUGAGAAUGUUGGCAUGAGUAGCGAGAUGUGGGUGAGAAUCCCACAGGCCGUAAACCCAAGGUUU
rnacentral:rRNA from 1 species